AAAUUGAAGAGUUUGAUCAUGGCUCAGAUUGAACGCUGGCGGCAGGCCUAACACAUGCAAGUCGAACGGUAACAGGAAGCAGCUUGCUGCUUUGCUGACGAGUGGCGGACGGGUGAGUAAUGUCUGGGAAACUGCCUGAUGGAGGGGGAUAACUACUGGAAACGGUGGCUAAUACCGCAUAACGUCGCAAGACCAAAGAGGGGGACCUUCGGGCCUCUUGCCAUCAGAUGUGCCCAGAUGGGAUUAGCUUGUUGGUGAGGUAACGGCUCACCAAGGCGACGAUCCCUAGCUGGUCUGAGAGGAUGACCAGCCACACUGGAACUGAGACACGGUCCAGACUCCUACGGGAGGCAGCAGUGGGGAAUAUUGCACAAUGGGCGCAAGCCUGAUGCAGCCAUGCCGCGUGUAUGAAGAAGGCCUUCGGGUUGUAAAGUACUUUCAGCGGGGAGGAAGGUGUUGUGGUUAAUAACCGCAGCAAUUGACGUUACCCGCAGAAGAAGCACCGGCUAACUCCGUGCCAGCAGCCGCGGUAAUACGGAGGGUGCAAGCGUUAAUCGGAAUUACUGGGCGUAAAGCGCACGCAGGCGGUCUGUCAAGUCGGAUGUGAAAUCCCCGGGCUCAACCUGGGAACUGCAUUCGAAACUGGCAGGCUUGAGUCUUGUAGAGGGGGUAGAAUUCCGGUGUAGCGGUGAAAUGCGUAGAGAUCUGGAGGAAUACCGGUGGCGAAGGCGGCCCCCUGGACAAAGACUGACGCUCAGGUGCGAAAGCGUGGGGAGCAAACAGGAUUAGAUACCCUGGUAGUCCACGCCGUAAACGAUGUCUACUUGGAGGUUGUGCCCUUGAGGCGUGGCUUCCGGAGCUAACGCGUUAAGUAGACCGCCUGGGGAGUACGGCCGCAAGGUUAAAACUCAAAUGAAUUGACGGGGGCCCGCACAAGCGGUGGAGCAUGUGGUUUAAUUCGAUGCAACGCGAAGAACCUUACCUGGUCUUGACAUCCACAGAAGAAUCCAGAGAUGGAUUUGUGCCUUCGGGAACUGUGAGACAGGUGCUGCAUGGCUGUCGUCAGCUCGUGUUGUGAAAUGUUGGGUUAAGUCCCGCAACGAGCGCAACCCUUAUCCUUUGUUGCCAGCGGUCCGGCCGGGAACUCAAAGGAGACUGCCAGUGAUAAACUGGAGGAAGGUGGGGAUGACGUCAAGUCAUCAUGGCCCUUACGACCAGGGCUACACACGUGCUACAAUGGCGCAUACAAAGAGAAGCGACCUCGCGAGAGCAAGCGGACCUCAUAAAGUGCGUCGUAGUCCGGAUUGGAGUCUGCAACUCGACUCCAUGAAGUCGGAAUCGCUAGUAAUCGUGGAUCAGAAUGCCACGGUGAAUACGUUCCCGGGCCUUGUACACACCGCCCGUCACACCAUGGGAGUGGGUUGCAAAAGAAGUAGGUAGCUUAACCUUCGGGAGGGCGCUUACCACUUUGUGAUUCAUGACUGGGGUGAAGUCGUAACAAGGUAACCGUAGGGGAACCUGCGGUUGGAUCACCUCCUUA
rnacentral:rRNA from 1 species